GGGUGGUAAUAUAACCCCAAAAAAGAAUCAGGUGUAUAAUAAUAAUUUUUUAAUGAGAGAUCUUACAUGUACUAACAUGUUCAACAGCCGUAUCGACAUGCUCAACAACCGCACCGACAUGCUCAACAGUCGUAUCGACACCCUAAACAGACUUACUAGCUUGCCAAAAAAAAAUAAACAAAACACACAGUACACAUACAUCAAUAUAGAUGUAAAAACAAAACAAAAAUUUAUUAAGAAAUUAAAAAAGUUAUAUACAUACUACUAUUACUGUAAAUGUCUAAACGAACUGUACAUAAAAUGUAAACAAAAUUGUAUUGAUUAUAAUAAUAAUAACUAUUGGGAUAUUUUUAAAAAUAUAUAUAAUUUGUACAAACAUAUGAAUAAAAUGUAUUCCACAAACCUAUCCAACAUGAAUACAAAAAAAGAACAACUAUCAAUAUAUCAUAACAUCGAAAUGGAAAAUAUUAUAAACGAGAAAAAUAUAAGCACAAAAAAUGAAGAAUACCAACAAAAAAUUAAUGAUUUAGUAUAUAAACACAUAGCUGAAAAAAAAGCAUUAUGUAGACAUAUAGAAUACGAAUUAAAUAAUAUGCAACAUUUAAAUAUAAAACAAUAUAAAGAAAAUGUACUUAACAUUUUUAAUAUCAUGCAAAAUAAAAAAUACAAGUUAAUGUUACCUGUGUUACCUACAGAGGAAGAUAAAUGUGGACAUACGACAUGUAAUGACAAAAGUGAUAGUUGUAAUAACAAUCUUGGCGUACAUAGCGACACUUACGACAAUUGUGACAACCGUCACAAUUGCGACAAUUGCAACAAUUGCAACAAUUGCAACAGUUGCAACAAUAACGGCAAACAUGCUACCUACCUGAUGAACAAUUUUAAUUUUUUUUAUUUUUACAAAUUAAUCAAAAGCAAUGUAACUGUACUUAAAUAUCUUCAUUUUUAUCUCAAAAAUUCUAUGCAUAAUAACAUGGACAUUACUAUAAUUUUUAGUCUUGGAGAAGUGGCUCAUAUAUUUGAAAAAAACAAUAAACACAAAAAUAAGAAGAUAAAAAAAAAAUUAAAAAAAAUAUUAAA
rnacentral:lncRNA from 1 species